rnacentral:rRNA from 1 species
GUAGGUGGCAAGCGUUGUCCGGAAUUAUUGGGCGUAAAGCGCGCGCAGGCGGUUCUUUAAGUCUGAUGUGAAAGCCCACGGCUCAACCGUGGAGGGUCAUUGGAAACUGGAGAACUUGAGUACAGAAGAGGAAAGCGGAAUUCCACGUGUAGCGGUGAAAUGCGUAGAGAUGUGGAGGAACACCAGUGGCGAAGGCGGCUUUCUGGUCUGUAACUGACGCUGAGGCGCGAAAGCGUGGGGAGCAAACAGGGAUUAGAUACCCUGGUAGUCCACGCCGUAAACGAUGAGUGCUAAGUGUUAGGGGGUUUCCGCCCCCUUAGUGCUGCAGCUAACGCAUUAAGCGCUCCGCCUGGGGAGUACGGCCGCAAGGCUG